NGAAGAUAGACCAGCCCCCUGAAACCUGACCCCUUGCCUCAUUUGAAUAGCUUCCCUCAAUAAAAGGGGUCAUCACAUGCUCUCGGCUCUCUCUUUCUUCCUGCAGACCCUUAAGGUCAGAGGAGCCGUCACAGCAACCCCAAAGAAAAAAGUAUUUGUGUCUCUUGUGUGGUUAUUUCAUGUAGCCCAGUUAACCCAGUUUAACUGGAGUGACCCCUGAGCCUUUUAGUCGUGAGAACAGAAACCUGGCAAUUGGCAUCCAAUGUGGGCCGAAAGGUCAGUGUCUUUAAGCUGCAGGGACAAAAGCGACAAAUGCUUGCUCUUAAGGGGACUCCAAUUUAAAUAUUAAAAGUUUAGUGAAGUUGAAAGUUCUCUCCAAAAGUUAAGCAUGCUUAGGAUUGUAGAGUAUUGUGGGCUGAAUUGUAGAAAGUAAGUGAAUUAGACAAAAGGAAAAUCUGUGACGUUAAAAUUUUUAAUGUCGGGGUAUAAUUGUAGAGAUUCUAAAUAAAUAUAGUUAUUAAAAAGGGAGAGAAAAUGUUGUGAUGUUUACCUGGAGAGAAAUAAGUUUCAAUUUUCCAUUGUUUUCAUCAAUACUCAAAAAGGAUGUACUGACCUUUUUGCUACAUGAUUGUCCUAUGAAUCAGAAUGGCUAUAAUUCAGCUGCUGGGGACAAGAGACUUUAGCUGCUGUGGACAAGAGACUUUAGCUGCUGCAGCUUGCUGCUCACUAUGGGGUCCUAGCCCCAGGGGCCAGCAGUGCUUUUAACCCUUAAAUUACUUGACCUAAAUGAUGAACACAGACUGAUCUGAUGGUAAUGCUGGUGUCUGUCGCUAAAAAACUUUUGGAGCACCCACAUGCCACAGAAAAAAGUGCAGGAUGCAGGAGUACACAGGUUGCAACCGCAGGUGGCAGAGACAAAGCAAGCUGCUACCACAGUAGGAUCUUGGCCAGGCGGGGGAAAAUGCAGACAAAAUCAAACAAAAUGCAAUCGGCUAGGAAAACUUGGGGAACUUUUGCCCUGACUAUGGGCAGCAGACUCCAUAUUGUUUGCGUCACCCUGGUAACAAUGAGGUGCCUGGCAGGAAGAGCAGGCUUCCUGUUCCCACCUCCCACACUUUCGUGGGCUUCCGAUUGGUUCUUCCACAGUCCCUCCCUCCUUCCAGCCACUAACCUGUACUUCCUCUUUCAGAUUGCUACCAGAGCUACUCAGAGCCUAUAUUUUUAAGAAUGCCUAUCUGUAAAUGUUAAAGAAAGAUAUCUUUUUCAGUCAAAAUUUAAUUCCACAGAUUUCUGUGUUGCAGCCCUAAAUUUAAGUUAGUUCUGAGUUAAAUAACCUGACUUUUCUCUAUAGUUGUGUUACUAAAUAAUGUUCUAUUAAUAAGAGAUAUCAAACAUGCUUGUUUGUAUUUAACUUUAAUUUUGGAGGUUAUGGGGAUGCAUUUGCUCGCCACAGGAACAAAAGCCGGCAUUGUUCCUGUGAUGACCAAAAAAUCCUUAUUCUCAUUCCUAACUAUAAAAAAUAAAUAUGUAUACGCAAGGAUCUUAUUUCAGUUACAUAAAGUGACGUCACAUAAAAGAGUGCACUCCUAAGUAAAAAUAAAUUGAAAUGGAUCCAAGUAUUUUAAAAACCACAUGGUUGCAUAAAGUUAAUACAAUUAUAAGUUAUGUCCUUAUUCUUAAUACAUAUUUUUCUAGAUAUUCAGAUAACCUAUAUUUGUUAAUCUAUAAAAUAAUUAGCACAUGUCUAAUUGUUUAGUUAAUAUAUAUUUGCCUAAUUGUUUUUCUUCACAGAAAACCCAUAAUUUAUAUGUUUUAUA
rnacentral:lncRNA from 1 species